GGGAAUGUGGCUUAGUGGUAGAGUGCUUGCCUAGCAUGCAUGAAGCCUGGGUUCGAUUCCUCAGUACCA
rnacentral:tRNA from 1 species